rnacentral:lncRNA from 1 species
ACACAGAAAACAGUGAGCCUGAGCUACUGAUUUGAGGGGAAAAGGCGAAUAGAAGAGUGUAGAAGGCUAAGAAAAGGUUUAGGAGAGUUCUAGGAAUCAUCGGGAAUUUUUUGGGAAUUUUUUGAAUUUUUUUUUUCUGGGAAUUUCUGGAAAUUCCAGAUUCCGGUUAAUUUUUCCGGCCAAGUUUGAAUUUUUCGGCGACAAUUCCGGCCAAAUUUGAAGUUUCCGGCCAUCUGCCCAGUUUCCGGCGAGGAAUCCCAGAAACCGGUGAAUAUUCCCAGAAACCGGUCGACUUCCGGCCAAAUUCCAGCGAUAUUUUCAGAUUCCGACGAAUUUCCCAGAAUUCGGCACCGGUGUUCUUCAGUUUCUAGAGAGAAGGGAGAGAAAAAAAGAAGAAGAGAGAGAGAGGGAGAAGCGUUCUGUCGAAAAAAUGAAGGGGAUUGCCUUUUAUACCCUCCCAAAACGACGUCGUUUUGGCUUUAAGUUAAUCAGAGGAUCCGCGCGUUUUGCCGUAACCCGACCCGACCCGGGCGUCGACCCGUUUUCUGACCUGCGCGUGCCAGCCCACUCCGAGUCGAGGCGAGCCGAGCCAAGCCGCCAAGCCGCUCCCCCGAGCCGUUUUCUCUUCCUUGAGCCGAGCCGAGCCGAGUCGCGAUCCGAGCCGCUCUAGGUUUUUUUUUUUUAUUAUUAUUAUUUCUUUGUUUAUUUGUUUAUUUGUUUAUUUUAUUUUUUAUUUUUUAUUUAUUAGAUUAGGUUUAUGUAAUAUUCUUUUUAUUUAUUUUUUAUUAUUUUAUUUUCUUUAAAUAAAAAAAAUUUCUAAAAAAUAUUUUUAGGGAAAAGUUGAAAGUAUCAAUUUUCCUUAGAAAUAAAUUUCCAAAAUAAAAUAUUUUUAGGGAAAAGUUGAAAGUAUCAAUUUUCCUUAGAAAUCAAUUUCCAAAAAAGUAUUUUUGGGGAAAGUUGAAAGUAUCAAUUUUCCUCGGAAAAAAAUUUCAAAAAAAAAUAUUUUUAGGGAAAAGUUGAAAGUAUCAAUUUUCCUUAAGAAUAAAUUUUCAAAAAAUAUUUUUAAGGAAAAAUUGAAAGUAUCAAUUUUCCUUAGAAAUAAAUUUCCAAAAAAAAAAUAUUUUUAGGGAAAAGUUGAAAGUAUCAAUUUUCCUUAAAAGAAAAAUAAAUUUCCAAAAAAAAAGUAUUUUUGGGGAAAAGUUGAAAGUAUCAAUUUUCCUUAGAAAUAAAUUGUCAAAAAAGGGGUUUUUGAGGAAAAGUUGAAAGUAUUAAUUUUCCUUGAAAAUCAAAAUUUCCAAAAAAUAUUUUUGGGGUAAAGUUGAAAGUAUCAAUUUUCCCUAAAAAAAAAUCAUUCUUUCCUUCCUUUUUAUCUUAAUUUUGAUUUUGUUUUUUUCUAUAAAUAAUCCGACGACGGAGCCUCUGUAAGUGAAACAGUAGUUUUUCUUGCAUACUCCUAAGGUGAGGGAAUUUUCUCAAUUUUCUGCUAAAAGUAUUAGAGUCAAUUGAGAAUAAUUUCUAACAAUUAAUUACUUGGUAAAAUUUUAAGGCUUUUUGGAUAACACAAAUUUAAGCUGGUACCAUCUUUUGAUGGGCGUUGUGAGGGUGCUAUAACCUUCCUCACACGUAACCGAACUCCCAAACUCUGUUCUGGUUUGUAGACCUGAACCUAUUCUUUUAGGGACCCUUAAGCUUAGGUGUUCCCUUAAAGGACAGAUUCUUUAGGUGGCCAAUCGCACCUAGAUAAAAAAGAUUGGUGGCGACUCUCUAAAAGUCAAUGUCUAGCGAUAGAUCCCCGGAUCUAGACGUUAUGACAGCUUGGCGACUCCGCUGGGGACCUUGAGAGUCAGGCCAGCAAAUAAUUUGUGUUAUCCAAAAGCCAAAUGAAAUUGAACCUUGUUGUAUAUAUGUGUUGUUAUUCAUUCAUGUUUUAGUUACCUUGUUAAUUAUGUCAUUCAUAUGCAUAUGCAUAACAUGAGCUCUAUACCCGAGCUUCGUCCCUCUAGAAGGGAGUAAAGUACCUAUUGCUUUCGUGAGGUCUAAUGCCUCCGCAGUGGCUAGCGAAAUACUCCCACUCAAAUUGAACUUUUUUCGCUUGUAGCCUGUAAUGGGUGAGGAUUAGGGUGCCUUACUAGUCUGUGAUGGACAAGGAUGUAAGGAGCAAUUUGGGAACCUUUAGACUUUGACCUUAAACCACAUAUAGUGAACUUUAGGAGUGCUUACACCUAGGAUAGAGCUCUUUCUACCCAAUGAUAGAUAUACCCUAAAAUUAGGACACAAAAAAAGGUAUUUAUCUAAUCAUUUUGAUUGUUUAACUUUGUGUAUUAUUUUUAUCAUAUGUGACAUUAUGCAUCAACAUCACUUACGUUUCAUCCACGGAACUAACUAUGUUGUUUGUCUGAUUGUAUGCAUCUGUAUUCUUUUCAUGAUCAUGUUUCAACACAGUCAUUUGCAUUCAUUUCAUACUAGAUUUCAUUCAAAAAAUGUACAUUUCAUUUGUGUGUCAAAGCAUCAUACAUAAGGCACAGCAUAACAUUUCUAAUCAUAAGUAUGGUACUCAAGGUCCGAGGAUAGCUCCAUCUAGCGAAAACCCUACUCAUCCAUACAACACAAGAUCCAGAGCAAGGCAAAUGGAAGAAGAAAGUUCUCAUAGAUUUGAAAAGCUAGAAAAAGCUCAGGAGAAGAUUGAAAAUGAACUUAGCAAAAUUCUGGAGGCUCUCAAUAAUAUGAAUAAAGGAAAAGGAAUUGAAGGAAGUACAAGCCAGCAAGAAGUGGCUGACCCAUUGUACCCUCCAGGUUUUGGCCCACCUCAAGCCCAGUCUGCCCAAGAGGUCCCACCACAACAUUUUGCAUAUCCAACAUGCCCUGGAAUGCCAUCAGCUUUUAACCCAGGGCAGUAUAAUAGCUAUAUAAAUCCUGUCUUCACCGAAAAGGCAGUAGAACCAAUUCCUGAUCUAGAUGAUGUAAAAGAGAAGGACAAGAAAAAGGUAAGGGUGGAAGCUGAGGAAAGUUCUAAGAUUAGCAUGCUAGAGCAGAGGCUACGGGUUGUAGAAGGAUUUAGCUUUUAUGGGUCAAUUGAUGCUGCUGGGCUCUGCCUAGUUCCUGAUGUGGUUAUCCCCUAUAAAUUCAAAGUACCGAAAUUUGAAAAAUAUGACGGUACAAAGUGCCCUAAAACCCACAUCACCAUGUAUUGCAGGAAGAUGGCAGCUCAUGCACAUGAUAAAAAACUCUUGAUGCAUGUCUUCCAAGAUAGUCUUACUGGUUCUGCUGCCAGGUGGUAUGUUCAGCUGGAUAGAACCCACAUUCGCUCCUGGAGCGAUAUGGCUCAUGACUUCAUCAGCCAAUAUCGACACAUCAUCGAUUUGGCCCCUGAUCGUUUAUCUUUGCAAAAUCUGGAGAAAAAGUCAAAUGAGUCUUUUAAAGAAUACGCCCAGAGAUGGAGGGAUAUAGCUUCACAGGUACAACCUCCACUGACAGAAAAAGAGACCACAGUGCUGUUUGUUUGUAGCACUUUAAAGCCUUCCUAUUAUGAAAAGAUGAUAGGAAUGCAACAAAGAAUUUUGCUGAACAUGUAAUCUCUGGAGAAAUGAUUGAAAGUGCCAUAAAAAAUGGUAAGUUGAGAAGAGAGAGUAGAAGAACAGAGACACAGAAGAGAAUAAAAGAAUACAAGAUAUGUGAGACAUCAGAUAGACAACAAUUCAGGGGUUAUCAACCCUAUCCAUCCCAAGGUUACUCUCCAUACUAUCCUGCUGUGAAUAAUGCCUCAUCCUACCCAUACCAGCUAGCCCACAACCAUCUUAUUCAUCCACUUACCGCCUUAACAUUCAAGCUCCUGUAAGAACCCAAAUUCGCCUACUAACCCAGCAAGUGGCUCACGAGAACAACGGACUGCUCGAGAAAAACCUGUAUUUGAUCCAAUCCCUAUGACUUAUACAGAGUUAUAUCGAGAACUCUAUAAUAGCCACUUGAUUGCCCCCAGCCAUGUAAAACCACUUAAACCACCCUAUCCAAAGUGGUAUGAUCUUACAGCCCGUUGUGACUACCAUUAUGGAAUUACUGGCCAUUCUACUGAAAAUUGCACUGCUUUAAAGUAUAAGGUGCAACGGUUGAUCAAUGAUGGAAUGGUAAGUUUUGAUCAGGGAAAAGCAACGGCAUCUAAUGUUAGUGCUCUGAACGAAAGUCAAGAACAGAAAGGAUCCGGAGAUUCACAAUGAAUUGAGGGGCAAGAUUUCAAUGGAGAUAAGGUUGGUUGAAGGUUUCUUCUGUCAUUUUGGGAUUUCUUUUCAAACAAUGUUAGAUUUUUUUGCAAUAUGACUUCACUUGUUAUCAUUUUAAUAAAGGCAAGUCAAUACAUUUCAUUACAUUUUCUCUUUCACUCGACCUUUCAUGACUUUACAUUCCCAUUUUCAAAUUUCAGAUGAUGAAUAUUUAGACAAUGGUAACAAUAAUUCUGGAAUUUAAUUUUGAGAACUCAUUCACAGAGGAGAUGAUUUGAGCGAAAAUAAAGAGGGUAAGCCAUUACCAGAGAUGAAAGAGAUAUAUCUUGAAGGUGUGCAAUCUUUUAUACAAGUUCAUGAGCUUUGUUCAAUAGAUGAUGUUCAAGAAAGGUAUUCACAAUUGAGAUGAAAAAUGGCCAUCUUUCUUUUACCAUUUGAAAAACCAUUUAUUGUUACCCCUUUGAGCUUAUCAUUUUUUUUUUUUGGAAGAACCCCAACCAAGGAUCACCCUCUACACUGGAGGGUAAAUUUUGAAAAAAAAAAAAAGAAAAAAAAACACCACAAAAGGUCUCAAAAAUGGAAAGAGAAAGAAAAGUAAAAAAAAAUGCCACACAUAACUUGGGGCAAAGUAAUGAGAAUCCUUUGUGUGAGGAAAGAGAAAAGUAGUGAAACGAUGUGGGGGCAAAAUGCCAAGUUGUAUCAAAUGAUCCUUUGGUUUUGAACCUUUUUAAUACAUAUUUUGAGCCUAUUCUAUCCAUUUUUUUAUGACCCUUCACCUUGGCCUACGUUACAACCUUGAAAAGUCCAUUUGGAUCAAGUAUGAAUACCCAACUUGAAUGAUCAUAGGUUGAGCAAAGAUAUGCUCGUGAUGAAGCAAUGAAAUCAUGCUACAUGAAAGAUAUCAACACUGGAUGAAAAAUGAGAAAAGAAAAAAAAGAAAAAAAAAGGAAAAAAUGAGAAAAUGAAAAAAUGAAAAAAGAGAACCAAAUUAAAAACCUGAAAGGGUGAUUUUGGUACCAAAAAAAAAAAAAAUCCAGGUCAAAUGGCUCACAUGAAUGAAAGAUCAAAAACAUCUGAAGAUCCCUCAAAGACUGGGGCAGAGUUCGCCAAGCUCAAGAUGACUUCAACUGUAAAUGAAAUGAGUUUUUGAAAAAGAAUCCUAGAUUAAUGUUGAGAAUUGUCUGAAUAUUCAUCAUUUGGACAUACCAUCCAUCCCAAUGACAUGUAUCCAAUUCACUUCUUUUCCCAUUUGCUUUAUACCAAAACAGAUCUUCAUUGAUUAUCUUUACCAUAAUUCACCUUGCCUUCUCUUAUUGUUUCACCCCUAGAAUGAAUUGAGAAAAUGCUUGGUUGCAUUGUAUUUGUCAAAAUGAUAAUAAAUGAAUGAAUAUGUGCUUAAAAGAGUCUUGCAUUCAUUUGAAAAGAAAUCUAAGAUGAUGGUGGAGAUAAAUGAAGAAAUGGUAGAAACCAAGAGGAGAUGAUUUAGAAGGAUAUAUGAUGUGAUCAAAUGAAAAAAUAGGGCAGUGAUACAAUCAAGUGAUGAGUACGAGGAUGAAUUGGUCAAUAUGACUUGCAAGUUGUGAUUGAAUGAUGAAGACAAAGUCUGUUUUGGAAAGGUUAAUGCUGAGACACCUAUGAGUAAUGACCUAGUGAUGGUGGAUGAAACUUGUUUUGAAAUUUGUUAGUGCUGAGAAAUUCAUUGAAUGAUGGUCAAGUAAUGAUCGAUCGAUGAAGCUUAUUCCAAAGUAUUGAGAAACUGAACAAGGAAGAAUGUGAGUGAGACAAAUUGAGAGCUACAUUGGUUCGAUCCUAGAAGAGCAGUGCAAUUGGAUCCUUAAGGAAUCAAAGGGCUUGACGCCCAAGAAAGAAAAAAAGAGCUUGAAAAACUUGAGUACCAUACAUUGAACAGGAAUUAAUUGGCCAACAUUUGCAUAGCAUGCAUUGAAAUUCAUAUGCAUUUGCAUAGCAUACACUACUUUCAGGAAAGUAUAGUGUACAAAUUCAAGAAGCAGGGGUGUUCCAACAUCCCACAUGAAAAAGACAGAUAUGAAAAGACUUUGCAAGUUUGAGAAAAAACUUGUCAGGUAAGUUCCUAAUCCUUGAAAUAGGAUGUCUCUUGGUAUCGGGGUUGAUUUAUAAGACCUUUGGGCAUAAUCUCCUGAAAUCCCUUCAAACACAACUUUCAACUCCUUCGGACAUGAUCGUCUAGGAGUAUUUACUUUCCAAGUUCGUUGCCUCUGUUUAGAGGAGCAAUUUAUUUUUCCAAAGUCGUGGUGCCUCUGUUUAGAGGAGCAAUUUAUUUUUUCAAAGUCGUGGUACCUCUGUUGAGAGGAGCAAUUUAUUUUUCCAAAGUCGUGGUGCCUCUGUUUAGAGGAGCAAUUUAUUUUUUCAAAGUCGUGGUACCUCUGUUGAGAGGAGCAAUUUAUUUUUCAAAGUUCCGUUGCCUCUGUUUAGAGGAGCAAUUUAUUUUUCCAAGUUCGUUGCCUCUGUUUAGAGGAGCAAUUUACUUUCCAAAGUCGUGGUACCUCUGUUUAGAGGAGCAAUUUACUUUUCAAAAGUCGUGGUGCCUCUGUUUAGAGGAGCUUUGGUAAAAAAAAAAUAAAAAAAUAAAAAACAAAAAAACAAAAAACAAAAAAAACCAAAAACAAAAAAAAAAACAAAAAAAAAACCAAAAAAAUGUUGAGUUGAGUCUUGAUUGGGUGUCUACGUCUUUGCGCAAUUUUUGUUUCACAAAAAAUGUGCAAAGAGGGGCAGCUGUAGACACCCAAUUGGGUCCGGCCCAGAUCAAUUGGGCCUGGCCCAAAUGGGUAGGGCCCAAUUCAAUUUGUCCUGUAUUAUUUUGUAUUUUAUGUAUUUUAUGUAUUUUAUUAUUAUGUAUAUAUUUAUUUAUUUAUUUAUUUUUUAUUAGAUUAGAUUUAUAUGUAUAUAGUUAUAUAUUUAUUAUUAUUUUUUUUAUCUGUUCUGACUUUUCUUGAUUAUCAGAUAUUUUUUUUAUAAUAUCUUUUGAUUUAUCUUUUCUAAUUAUCUAGUAUUUUUUAUUUAUUUUGAUUUUAAUUUUGGAGGGCUAAGAUUCAAGGCUGAAGAAUCCCACUGUGGAGGGGAACUCAAUCAGAAGAGUCCAGUGGGAUUCAAAGAUUGAAUUCCCGUCCAAGGAGGAAUUGGGAUUGAUCAGGAACUCCUGAUCAAUCCCUAUAAAAGGGACUCUGGAACAGAAUGCAGGACACACAGAAAACAGUGAGCCUAAGCUACUGAUUUGAGGGGAAAAGGCGAAUAGAAGAGUGUAGAAGGCUAAGAAAAGGUUUAGGAGAGUUCUAGGAAUCAUCGGGAAUUUUUUGGGAAUUUUUUGAAUUUUUUUUUUCUGGGAAUUUCUGGAAAUUCCAGAUUCCGGUUAAUUUUUUCGGCCAAGUUUGAAUUUUCCGACGACAAUUCCGGCCAAAUUUGAAGUUUCCGGCCAUCUGCCCAGUUUCCGACGAGGAAUCCCAGAAACCGGCGAAUAUUCCCAGAAACCGGCCGACUUCCGACCAAAUU